AUUGAAAAAAUUAUUAAUUUUAAUUAGUUAAUAAUUUUUUAAAAAAAUUAGUUAAUUAUUUUUAGUAUAAAUUAGAAAAAGAGAUAUUAAUAAUAGGAAAUUAGUAUUGUGAAAGAAAUUUUAAAUAAUAAAAUAAAGUAAAAAUAAAUUUUUGUACCUUGUGUAUCAGGGUAAAUUAAAUAUUAUAAUUAUUUUAAUUUCUCGAAUUUAAAAGAGUUAAUGAAUUAUUGAUUUUUAUUGUAAAAUAAAUAUUUUUAAUAGUUUAUUAGAAAUGAAACGUUAUUCGUUUUUAAAUAUAUCUAGUUAUUUAAGAAAAAAAUUUAAUUUAAUUUUUAUAUAAUAAUUAAUUAAUUAAUAAUUAAUUAUUUAUAAAUUUAUAUAUUAAAGGGGAUGAGCUUUUUAAUAAAAAAUUAAAAAUUAUUGAUUAAAAUAAAAAUUAUAGGAUUUAAAAUGUCUAAUAUUAGAAUAUUGUUAUAAUAAAUUUUAUAUAAAUAAUGAUUUAUAUUAAUUUUAAUUUUUAUAUUAAAUUAUUAAUUUUAUUAAUAAUUAUUAAGGAAUAAUGAUUUAAUUAGUAAUAAUUAAUAUUUUAAUAAAUAAAAUAUUGUGAGAUUAUUAAAAGGAAUUCGGCAAAGAAUUUUUCACCUGUUUAUUAAAAACAUGUCCUUUUGAAAAUAAUUUAAGGUCUGACCUGCCCACUGAAAUUUAAAGGGCCGCGGUAUUAUGACCGUGCUAAGGUAGCAUAAUCAUUAGUUUUUUAAUUGAAAGCUGGAAUGAAUGGUUGAAUGAAAAAAUGACUGUCUCUUAAUAAUUUUGAAUGAAUUUAAUUUUUAAGUUAAAAAGCUUAAAUAAAAUUAAAAGACGAGAAGACCCUAUAGAGUUUAAUAAAUUAAGAAUUAUAAAUUUUAAGAAUUAAUAUUUUAUAUUUUAAAAUUUAUUUAAUUGGGGUGAUUAAAAAACUAAUAAAACUUUUUUUUUAUAAAAACAUAAAUUUAUGAAAUUUUGAUCCAAAAGUAUUGAUUAUAAGAUUAAAUUACCUUAGGGAUAACAGCGUAAUUUUUUUUGAGAGUUCUAAUCGAUAAAGAAGAUUGCGACCUCGAUGUUGGAUUAAAAUUAAUUCUUGGAGUAGAAAUUAAGAAUUUUUGGUCUGUUCGACCAUUAAAAUUUUACAUGAUCUGAGUUUAAACCGGUGUGAGCCAGGUUGGUUUCUAUCUUUAAUAAAUAAUUAUAUUUUAGUACGAAAGGACCAAAUAUUUAAUAAAUUAUUUUAACAUUGAAAAAAAAU
rnacentral:rRNA from 1 species